rnacentral:rRNA from 1 species
GACAGAGGUGCCGAGCGUUAGGCGGAAUCACUGGGCUUAAAGCGUGUGUAGGCGGGUCGUUAAGUGUCUUGUGAAAUCCCACCGCUCAACGGUGGAACUGCUGGGCAUACUGGCGAUCUUGAGCCACCUAGGGGCAGACGGAACAAGCGGUGGAGCGGUGAAAUGCGUAGAUAUCGCUUGGAACGCCGACGGUGAAAACAGUCUGCUGGGGGUCACCUGACGCUGAGACACGAAAGCCAGGGGAGCGAACGGG